rnacentral:tRNA from 1 species
AUAUUGGUAGUUCAGUGAUAGAAUUUUCACUUUCCAUGUGGAAGACGCAGGUUCAAGUCCUAGCCAGUGCU